rnacentral:tRNA from 1 species
UCCGAAUUGGUCUAGUGGCUAGGAUUUGUCGCUCUCAAUCAUCGAAAGAUGAUCAGUUCCGACAAGGCCGGGGUUCAAUUCCCCGAUUCGGAA